rnacentral:rRNA from 1 species
GACGAACGCUGGCGGCGUGCCUAACACAUGCAAGUCGAGCGGAGUUAGUUUGUAGCUACUACAAACUAACUUAGCGGCGGACGGGUGAGUAACGCGUGGAUAACCUGCCUUUUACAGGGGGAUAACACAGGGAAACUUGUGCUAAUACCGCAUAACAUAUAGAAGUGGCAUCACUUUUAUAUCAAAGGAGCAAUUCGGUAGAAGGUGGAUCCGCGUCCGAUUAGCUAGUUGGCGGGGUAAAGGCCCACCAAGGCGACGAUCGGUAGCCGAACUGAGAGGUUGAUCGGCCACAUUGGGACUGAGACACGGCCCAGACUCCUACGGGAGGCAGCAGUGGGGAAUAUUGCGCAAUGGGGGAAACCCUGACGCAGCAACGCCGCGUGAAGGAUGAAGGCUUUCGGGUUGUAAACUUCUUUAGUCGGGGACGAAAAAAUGACGGUACCCGAAGAAUAAGCCACGGCUAACUACGUGCCAGCAGCCGCCGUAA